rnacentral:rRNA from 1 species
GGCAUCAUGAGGUAGCAAUACCUUGAUGGCGACCGGCGCACGGGUGAGUAACGCGUAUGCAACCUGCCUGAUACCGGGGUAUAGCCCAUGGAAACGUGGAUUAACACCCCAUAGUACUUUUAUCCUGCAUGGGAUGUGAGUUAAAUGUUUAAGGUAUCGGAUGGGCAUGCGUCCUAUUAGUUAGUUGGCGGGGUAACAGCCCACCAAGACGAUGAUAGGUAGGGGUUCUGAGAGGAAGGUCCCCCACAUUGGAACUGAGACACGGUCCAAACUCCUACGGGAGGCAGCAGUGAGGAAUAUUGGUCAAUGGACGAGAGUCUGAACCAGCCAAGUCGCGUGAGGGAAGACUGCCCUAUGGGUUGUAAACCUCUUUUAUAAGGGAAGAAUAAGUUCUACGUGUAGAAUGAUGCCUGUACCUUAUGAAUAAGCAUCGGCUAACUCCGUGCCAGCAGCCGCGGUAAUACGGAGGAUGCGAGCGUUAUCCGGAUUUAUUGGGUUUAAAGGGUGCGUAGGCGGUUUAUUAAGUUAGUGGUUAAAUAUUUGAGCUAAACUCAAUUGUGCCAUUAAUACUGGUAAACUGGAGUACAGACGAGGUAGGCGGAAUAAGUUAAGUAGCGGUGAAAUGCAUAGAUAUAACUUAG